CACGUAGGGUGCGAGCGUUGUCCGGAAUUAUUGGGCGUAAAGCGCGCGUAGGCGGCUUUGCAAGUCGGGUGUGAAAUCCCCAGGCUUAACCUGGGAACUGCAUUCGAGACUGCAUUGCUAGAGUAUGGGAGAGGGAAGUGGAAUUUCCGGUGUAGCGGUGAAAUGCGUAGAUAUCGGAAGGAAUACCAGUGGCGAAGGCGGCGACCUGGGCCAAUACUGACGCUGAGGUGCGAAAGCGUGGGGAGCAAACAGG
rnacentral:rRNA from 1 species